rnacentral:misc_RNA from 1 species
UCAGGAUCCUUUCAUCAAACUC